CCCUAAAAAGACAAAAAAAAAAAAAAAAAAAAAAAAAUUUACCCGAANACCUACCUGUAUGAAUUGAAAAUAUCAGGACAGUUCGGGGCUAGAAUCAACUUUGGGAGUCACCAACAGUGGGUGGUAUCUAGAUAAAAGCAGUGGACUGAGGGCAGACCCAGAGAUGACUGAUAUUCCAGAGACCGGAAGUCAUGAAACCAGAGAAUUAGUAAGCAUGUUAUUUACUUAUUUAUUCUCUUUUUUGGCCACCCUGCAGCAUGUGGAGUACCUAGGCCAGGGAUCAGAUCUGAACAUAGUUGCAGCCUAAGCUGCAGCUACAGCAAUGCCAGAUCCUUAACCCACUGUGCCAGGCAAGGGAUUGAACCUUCGUCCCGGCCCGGCACUCCAGAGAGGCUGCCAACCCCAUUGCGCCACAGCAGAAACUCCUAUUUAUUUUUAUUUGUUGGCCACUCAGGUCACUUCACCCUCACUCCAGACCCCCACACCUGCCUCACCCGAGGCACGUGGAAGUUCCUAGGCCAGGGCUGAAAUCUGAGCCACAUCUGUGGCCUAUGCCACAGCUGCAACAACUGCCAAGGUCCUUAACCCACUGUGUCACAGUGGGAAUUCUGUUACUUUAACUUAUAAAUAGACUAGUAGAACUUCCCUUGUGGAACAGGGGUUAAGGUUCCAUUAUUGUCACUGCAGUGGCUUGGGAUGCUGCUAUAAUGUGGGUUUGAUCUCAGGCCUGGAAACCUCAACAUGCUGCAGGUGCAGCCAAAAAAGAAACUAGUUAAUAGUCUUUGAAGCUGUCACUUUAGAGAGAUUAAUGAACAUAUUCUAAGAUAACUUGAUUAGAGCAGCCAAAUACAACACUACUAAAUCAUGUUUUUAAUAUUGUGAGGCCUGCAGAUAUGUCAGUAAGAAAAAAUUCACAAAGUUUUUUCUCCUGCUUUUGUGUUUUGGGAAAGGAUGAUUACAGAAAUGUGAAUUAUAGGAGUUCCCCUCAUGGCGCAGUGGUUGACAAAUCUGACUAGGAACCAUGAGCCACGAUUAUUUAGGAAGACAAAACAACAUUGUUUAGGAAGACACAUAAAGUAAGUUUCUGAGGUAAUAUGAAGGUAUGGAUCUGUCAUUAGAGAACUUCAGUAGUUCUGGUCCUCCAGCUCAGGUGCAAUUUUAUCAACCAAUGUUAAUUUUUUCUUUUCUUUUUCUUUUUACAGCCACACCUGUGGCAUAUGGACAUUCCUGGGCUAGGGGUCAAAUCAGAGCUGCAGCCGCCAGCCAUAGCCACAGCAAGAGCAAUGCCAGAUCCAAACCAAAUUUGCAGCCUACACUGCAGCUUGCAGUAAUACUGGAUCCUUUAACCCACUGAACGAGGCCAGGGUUUGAACCCACAUCCUCACAAACCCUAUGUCGGGUUCUUAAUGUACUGAGCCACAAUGGGAACUCCUUUAUCAACUAAUGUUAAUAGAAGAUGUAGUCUUAGUAGAUUCUUGGAAUGCUGCUUUAUGAGCAGCAAAUACUGUAACCAUUUCCACUCUAUCAGAUAGAAAUAAUGUUUUAUGCAUCAGCAGAUAUUUCUCAGCCUUUUGUUACCAAGAAGCGCUCUCUGUCUGACACACAUAGAAGCCAAUGCUAUGGCACCAGUUUUUGAAAAAAGCAAGUUUUAUUGGGAAGUCAAUAAAACAGGAGGCAGGGCUCAAAUCUGUCUCCCUAUCCAGUGUUCAGGGCAAAAGGUAAAGGGUGAGGGGAGCUUCAAACUUAGCAGAAACUGAUUGGCUAGUCUUAAAAGUCAGAAGCUGAUUGGAAUCAAGCUACUUGGGCAGCUAGAAGCCAGAUUUUUCUUUUCCUUGGCCACGCCUGUGGCAGGCAGCAGUUCCUGGGCCGAAAUGGAAACCACACCACAGCAGUGAUAAUGCUGGAUCCUUAACCUGCUGAGCCACCAGGGAAUUCCCAGGUUUUUCUUACUGAAGAACUUCUUGCUUGGUGAAGGGCUCCAGCAGCAACAUUUCUAUUGUCUGAGUUCCAAAGACUUGAAGAUUCUUGGUUCCAGGGUCCUCCAGGGCUUCCAUCUUGUACACGCGCCAUGCUGUCUCUAUAAAAUAACUCAAGGUUUGAUUAAACAACAGCCUAUUUAAGGAAGCAAAACCAUUGAAAGCAGAUCAACAUUUUAUGUGCAGUUUCUAUU
rnacentral:lncRNA from 1 species